rnacentral:rRNA from 1 species
UACGAAGGGUGCAAGCGUUAUUCGGAAUUACUGGGCGUAAAGCGCGCGUAGGCGGUCUCGUAAGUCCGUUGUGAAAGUCAAAGGCUCAACCUUUGAAAGCCGAUGGAUACUGUGAGGCUAGAGUCCGGAAGAGGCGAGUGGAAUUCCUGGUGUAGCGGUGGAAUGCGCAGAUAUCAGGAGGAACACCAAUAGCGAAGGCAGCUCGCUGGGACGGUACUGACGCUAAGGCGCGAAAGCGUGGGGAGCGAACAGG